CUACGGGCCGCAGCAGCAGGGAAUAUUGCACAAUGGACGGAAGUCUGAUGCAGCGACGCCGCGUGGAUGAUGAAGGCCUUCGGGUUGUAAAAUCCUUUUCAGGGAGAAGAGGAAGGACGGUAUCCCUGGAAUAAGCGUCGGCUAACUACGUGCCAGCAGCCGCGGUAAUACGUAGGACGCAAGCGUUAUCCGGAUUUACUGGGCGUAAAGCGUCUGUAGGCGGUUUAGUAAGUUUGAUGUGAAAGCUCCAGGCUCAACUUGGAGAGUGCAUUGAAUACUGCUAGACUUGAGGGGAUCAGAGGAAAGCGGAAUUUCCGGUGUAGCGGUAAAAUGCGCAGAUAUUGGAAAGAACACCAGUGGCGAAGGCGGCUUUCUGGGAUCAACCUGACGCUGAGAGACGAAAGCUAGGGUAGCGAACAGGAUUAGAUACCCGCGUAGUC
rnacentral:rRNA from 1 species